rnacentral:rRNA from 1 species
GACGAACGCUGGCGGCGUGCCUAAUACAUGCAAGUAGAACGCUGAAGGAGGAGCUUGCUUCUCUGGAUGAGUUGCGAACGGGCGAGUAACGCGUAGGUAACCUGCCUGGUAGCGGGGGAUAACUAUUGGAAACGAUAGCUAAUACCGCAUAACAGUAGAUAUCGCAUGAUAUCUACUUGAAAGGUGCAAUUGCAUCACUACCAGAUGGACCUGCGUUGUAUUAGCUAGUUGGUGAGGUAACGGCUCACCAAGGCGACGAUACAUAGCCGACCUGAGAGGGUGAUCGGCCACACUGGGACUGAGACACGGCCCAGACUCCUACGGGAGGCAGCAGUAGGGAAUCUUCGGCAAUGGACGGAAGUCUGACCGAGCAACGCCGCGUGAGUGAAGAAGGUUUUCGGAUCGUAAAGCUCUGUUGUAAGAGAAGAACGAGUGUGAGAGUGGAAAGUUCACACUGUGACGGUAUCUUACCAGAAAGGGACGGCUAACUACGUG